rnacentral:rRNA from 1 species
UACGUAGGGGGCAAGCGUUGUCCGGAAUCAUUGGGCGUAAAGAGCGUGUAGGCGGCCCGGUAAGUCCGCUGUGAAAGUCCAGGGCUCAACCCUGGGGUGCCGGUGGAUACUGUCGGGCUCGAGUCCGGAAGAGGAGUGUGGAAUUCCUGGUGUAGCGGUGAAAUGCGCAGAUAUCAGGAAGAACACCCGUGGCUAAGGCGGCUCUCUAGUACGGUACUGACGCUGAGACGCGAAAGCGUGGGGAGCGAACAGG